UAGCUCAGUUGGUAGAGCAGUUGACUUUUAAUCAAUUGGUCGCAGGUUCGAAGUUUUAACAUCAAACUCAGAUGUUAAGCGUGAAGGAUAACGUUACGCCAGCAACGGCCCGUAGGGCGAGCGAAGCGAGUCAUCCUGCACGAGCCACCA
rnacentral:sRNA from 1 species